CAUGGGGGCGGUAUAGCACAUGCGAGUCAGAGCGGUAGAGAGAAGCUUGCUUCUCUUGAGAGCGGCGGACGGGUGAGUAAUGCCUAGGAAUCUGCCUGGUAGUGGGGGAUAACGUUCGGAAACGGACGCUAAUACCGCAUACGUCCUACGGGAGAAAGCAGGGGACCUUCGGGCCUUGCGCUAUCAGAUGAGCCUAGGUCGGAUUAGCUAGUUGGUGGGGUAAUGGCUCACCAAGGCGACGAUCCGUAACUGGUCUGAGAGGAUGAUCAGUCACACUGGAACUGAGACACGGUCCAGACUCCUACGGGAGGCAGCAGUGGGGAAUAUUGGACAAUGGGCGAAAGCCUGAUCCAGCCAUGCCGCGUGUGUGAAGAGAGGUCUUCGCGAUUGUAAAGCACUUUAAGUUGGGAAGGAAGG
rnacentral:rRNA from 1 species